rnacentral:rRNA from 1 species
CUUGAGGCGUGGCUUCCGGAGCUAACGCGUUAAGUCGACCGCCUGGGGAGUACGGCCGCAAGGUUAAAACUCAAAUGAAUUGACGGGGGCCCGCACAAGCGGUGGAGCAUGUGGUUUAAUUCGAUGCAACGCGAAGAACCUUACCUACUCUUGACAUCCAGAGAAUUCGCUAGAGAUAGCUUAGUGCCUUCGGGAACUCUGAGACAGGUGCUGCAUGGCUGUCGUCAGCUCGUGUUGUGAAAUGUUGGGUUAAGUCCCGCAACGAGCGCAACCCUUAUCCUUUGUUGCCAGCACGUAAUGGUGGGAACUCAAAGGAGACUGCCGGUGAUAAACCGGAGGAAGGUGGGGAUGACGUCAAGUCAUCAUGGCCCUUACGAGUAGGGCUACACACGUGCUACAAUGGCAUAUACAAAGAGAAGCGAACUCGCGAGAGCAAGCGGACCUCAUAAAGUAUGUCGUAGUCCGGAUUGGAGUCUGCAACUCGACUCCAUGAAGUCGGAAUCGCUAGUAAUCGUAGAUCAGAAUGCUACGGUGAAUACGUUCCCGGGCCUUGUACACACCGCCCGUCACACCAUGGGAGUGGGUUGCAAAAGAAGUAGGUAGCUUAACCUUCGGGAGGGCGCUUACCACUUUGUGAUU